CAAGGGGCGCAAGCACACGAGUUACGGAAAAAAGUGUUUAAGUCUAAGCUAAGGAAAUUAAAAUUACAUGUUCUCUGUUCGAGAGUUUUUUAUUCGGUCCUUUGCUCUAUGUCUUUUCUCCCUUUUAUACUUCAUGGACGAUCUCUUUGUGAUCAACCGCCUAAAAACUGUUUGAUCGUUCUGCAACUGCCCACUUUCCUCAUAAUGACCAGCUUGUCAUGAAAACUGCCUUAUUUAACUGCUGCCAUUACUCUUCGUCGUUCAACCGUUUUCGAUUGAAUUCCUUGAAUCGUGGAACGUGAUGGGGCUGCUUUACUAACU
rnacentral:lncRNA from 1 species